CCGGCAAAAACUCAAACGGAUGCUGUUAAAUGUCCGCUGGAUAAAUACUUUUUUUGUGGAAGUUCAGAAUUCAGGAACUAAUGUGGAUCUUGCCAGUGGAGGUUUAGAGAAUAAUGAUUUCACUUAAAUGGAACCAGCACUUCAGGUAUUUCUGUAACGAAGAAGACACAUACAUAACCUGGAAGUAUUUUGUCCUACAAGUAAUGAAGAACUAUGCCACCCUAAAGAACGGAAUCUCGGGGUCUAAACCUGAUAAAGGAGCUACUAGGGAAAUUACUUUCUAAACAUCAAGUGUGCAGGCAGGCUUUCAGCAUGUGAAGGGCGUGUCUCAAAAAUAAAAAUUGCAGCAGCAAAUCCCAACUUGUAGGUGAAAGUGGAAAUCAAUACAUA